AGGGCACCACCAGGAGUGGAGCCUGCGGCUUAAUUUGACUCAACACGGGAAAACUCACCCGGCCCGGACACUGGAAGGAUUGACAGAUUGAGAGCUCUUUCUUGAUUCAGUGGGUGGUGGUGCAUGGCCGUUCUUAGUUGGUGGAGUGAUUUGUCUGGUUAAUUCCGAUAACGAACGAGACUCUAGCCUACUAAAUAGAUCGUCGGCUUACAAACGCCGGCGAGACUUCUUAGAGGGACAGGCGGUGAUUCAACCGCACGAAACAGAGCAAUAACAGGUCUGUGAUGCCCUUAGAUGUUCGGGGCCGCACGCGCGCUACACUGAGGUGAUCAGCGUGCCUUUUCAACCUACUCUGUCAAGAGUGGGGAACCCAAUGAACCUUCUUCGUGAUUGGGAUAGGGGAUUGUAAUUAUUCCCCUUGGACGAGGAAUUCCCAGUAAGCGCGGGUCAUAAGCUCGCGUUGAUUACGUCCCUGCCCUUUGUACACACCGCCCGUCGCUACUACCGAUUGAAUGUUUU
rnacentral:rRNA from 1 species